UGCGUAGGCGGUUGGGUAAGUCAGAGGUGAAAUUCCGGGGCUCAACCUCGGAACUGCCUUUGAUACUGCCUGACUAGAGUACUGGAGAGGAGACUGGAAUUCACGGUGUAGCAGUGAAAUGCGUAGAUAUCGUGAGGAAGACCAGUGGCGAAGGCGAGUCUCCGGACAGUUACUGACGCUGAGGCACGAAGGCUAGGGGAGCAAACG
rnacentral:rRNA from 1 species